GACGGGACCGCACAAGUGGUGGAUGAUGUGGUUUAAUUCGAUGCAACGCGAAAACCUUACCACCUUUGACAUGUACGGAAUCCUUUAGAGAUAGAGGAGUGCUCGAAAGAGAGCCGUAACACAGGUGCUGCAUGGCUGUCGUCAGCUCGUGUCGUGAGAUGUUGGGUUAAGUCCCGCAACGAGCGCAACCCUUAUCAUUAGUUGCUACGCAAGGGCACUCUAAUGAGACUGCCGGUGACAAACCGGAGGAAGGUGGGGAUGACGUCAAGUCCUCAUGGCCCUUAUGGGUAGGGCUUCACACGUCAUACAAUGGUCGGUACAGAGGGUUGCCAAGCCGCGAGGCGGAGCCAAUCCCACAAAGCCGAUCGUAGUCCGGAUUGUUCUCUGCAACUCGAGAGCAUGAAGUCGGAAUCGCUAGUAAUCGCAGGUCAGCAUACUGCGGUGAAUACGUUCCCGGGUCUU
rnacentral:rRNA from 1 species